ACCUCGGGCGCCAUCCAGAACGGCGUCCCUACGAAGGUGUUGCGUUUGAUCUGCGUGUCGGUCAGCUGACCCGCCACGCCGAAGUCAGCCAGCUUCACCUCGCCCUGCUCCGACAGCAGCACGUUGGCAGCUGAGACAGGUACUCCAGACCUUUGAGGAUCUCUCUGAGGAUGGUGGCGAUCUGAGUCUCAUCCAGAGCUCCAGGCUCCAUCUGACAACAACAACAACAACAACAACAAUAAGACUAGAAGUUUUUCCUGCAGAGAAGCAGUAAAUCUGUUGCCGGCAGCAGGAAGGUAAGAGUCCCAAUCAUUAUUAUUAUAAUAUCAUGACCUGAACCAACACAUAAAACAUCAGCUGUGUUCCUCUAGAGCUGCAGGAUGUGACUCUGAGCUCUCGUUCCUGCAGAACCUGCAGAAUGAAGCUAAACAAGCUGAAACACUGAUCCAGAUCUGCUGUUUCCUGUCCUGUAUUUAGAUCUCUCUCCUGAACCAUAAAUAUAUCAUAUAUAUAAUAAAACAUGAGCUCUCUGUGCAGAAUCAAACUGCAGGCAUGUAGAAAAUGACCUGAAUCUUUUCUCCACAGCUUUUUGGUUUGAAUCCAGUUGAGUGUGCAGAGUUUUGUGCAGCAGUUGAGAGUUUUUUCAGACUUCCUGCAGACUCCUGAGAUCUGAGAGCUGCAAACUCCUAUAAACUCUCUAUAAAUACUAUAUGAUACUUUAUAUG